rnacentral:rRNA from 1 species
UAACUGCGAGUGAAGCGGGAAAAGCUCAAAUUUAAAAUCUGGCGGUCUUUGGCCGUCCGAGUUGUAGUCUGGAGAAGUGCUUUCCGUGCUGGACCGUGUACAAGUCUCUUGGAACAGAGCGUCAUAGAGGGUGAGAAUCCCGUCUUUGACACGGACUACCAGUGCUUUGUGAUGCGCUCUCAAAGAGUCGAGUUGUUUGGGAAUGCAGCUCAAAAUGGGUGGUAAAUUCCAUCUAAAGCUAAAUAUUGGCGAGAGACCGAUAGCGAACAAGUACCGUGAGGGAAAGAUGAAAAGCACUUUGGAAAGAGAGUUAAACAGUACGUGAAAUUGCUGAAAGGGAAACGCUUGAAGUCAGUCGCGUUCGCCAGGACUCACCCUUGCUUUAGCUUGGUGCAUUUUCUGGUUGACGGGCCAGCAUCGAUUUUGGUUGUCGGAUAAAGGCAGGGGGAAUGUGGCAUCUUCGGAUGUGUUAUAGCCCUCAGUCACAUACGACAGCUGGGAUCGAGGACCGCAGCACGCCUUUAUGGCCGGGGUUCGCCCACGUUCGUGCUUAGGAUGCUGGCAUAAUGGCUUUAAACGAC